rnacentral:rRNA from 1 species
CCCCUGAAGACUCCUCGAAGACUACGAGGUCGAUAGGAUGGCGGUGUAAGUGCGGUAACGUAUUCAGCCUACCAUUACUAAUCAGUCGUGAGGCUUGACCAU